GUUCUGGGACAGCUUAGUCAUCAGAGCAUGAGACUCCUAAUCUCAGAGUUGUGGGUUCGAGCCCCACAUUGAGCUUGGACU